GUAACGGUGAAGUAGGCUUUGAAGGAAUUCGCCUGCUAAUGUUCGUCUUGUGCAAGAAACAAAGAAAAAAAGGAGAAGACCCAUAUGACAUUGCAGAUUGUACUGUAAAUACUUUCGAUAAGGUUUUUUUUUUUUAUUUCUGGACUCAUCACAAGGAUUUGGUA
rfam:Pygoscelis adeliae contig19681, whole genome shotgun sequence.